UACCUCCGCCCCGUCUUCGUCGACCUGCUCGGAGGGCUGCUAGCUGCGCAAGCGAAUCAAUGAUGCAGGCGCUCUUGCUUCCGACAAAGUCGUCGCUGACUCGCUGGUCGUCGAGUACAGAGCCCAGCGACCGCUUUCUCCUCCAGACCGAGCUCUCAUCCUGAGAUUUCCCCAUGGACUUGGGAGCCCCUGACUUCAUCUUCCAUGUGUACAGACCGAGCUCUCAUCGUGAGAUUUCCCCCAUGGAGUUGGGAGCCCCUGACUUCACCUUCCAUGUGUACAACAUGCACCGGUGAAAUCUUUCUCACCCCUUUCUUGAUUUUCCCUUGUAGCAUAUUAGAUCUGAUCCUCUUUUCUGACAAUGAAUGAAACUUUUCCGCUGUAGCUUUAGUUGAAGUACAUGACAAAUGAUGCUUUAAUUGUGGAUCAAUGAUGAUUGAUAUUAUAAUGAAGACACACAGCUUUUAAAAAUGCAAACUUUGCAUUUUCUGCUUAUUUUCUAUGCAAGGAUAGAUAUUACACUUACUCUUAAUGCUCAUAAGAAAAAUAAUCAAUACUGUUUUCUUAUCUAACUUUUGUUGUUUUGUUCAUAAUAUUUGAUGGUCUUGCGAUAGAAUGGUGCCACACAUGGCCCGUCCGGUAGCUCGCUGCCUCCAGAUAUGCCUGUGAGCAUGCUGUUCUUCUUCCAUGGAAAUGGACACAUGAGAGCUAUCUUGGCUUUACUGUCCAAACCUAUAAAUUUGUUUCAUUGUUUAGAUUCUUUUUUCAAUUCAAAUCAUCGGUUACAUGAUUUCCAUUGCUGAUUUUUCUUGGAAGAAUCAGCUUGGUUUCCGAUAAUUAUUUGCGCAAGAUGCCACAGGCUCACUCGCGCCUCCUCGCCACCGCAUGGACGGGCAGAUCCGAACUCAGAUGCCCCAGUCGGUCAGUGCCACCACCGGUCAGUGCUCCAUGUUUGCCUUGCUGCUGCUGGCAUGUCCACCGGUAGCGAGAGGGGCAAGGCCAGAAGCGAGCACACCAGAGCGGCUGAGCCUGAGGGAGGUGAAGAAGGACAUGUGUUGUACAAGAGGAGGAUGCUGGCAUAAACACGUUGUCGAUGAGCUGCGCUAAUGUUGCCGUGGAUGGCUGGACGCCCGUGGGUAGAACUACCUCCGAACUGCCGUCGCCCCUGCCCCUGGUUUGCCGGCACACUGCUCAUGGACUGUAGAAAAGCAGAAGUUUAUACCCACGCACCAUGGAAGAGAAACACUGGACUGAGUAAAGGGAUUCAACAUGCACAUUCUGAUAAGUUUUCGUUUCAUUUUGAGUGUGCAAUGUCUUUUUGCUAUUUAGUUGUGUCAGAUAUAGCUUAUGAGAUAACUCAGUUUUACAUAGGUAUACGUACGUCAGUAGGAUUAUUUCAUUUGAAUUCUUUGCACUGUCCCUCUGCUUCUGUAAUAUAGAACCGAGAGUGUUAGGUUCAGGCAUUCAGCGCAAGUUCAACAGUUCUGUUGGGCAGCAAUACCAGCACGAGUUUUGCUACAUAAUAAGUAUAUAGAUACUGAAGCUGGUUUUGCUACAUGCCACAUGUAUCUUAACCACUAGCAAGGUACUCUUUUAAAUCUCACUAUAGAGCGAAUUUUCAUGGAUUCAGUUCUGAGGCAUCUGUUGCAUUUUUACCUGCAAGAAAGAUGAGUAAAUUGUGGGGUUUUAGGUGUUUUUUUGUACCGAAAGAUCAGGUAGUUAAUGUUACUGUAAGGGACGUUACUAACAUCCGUAUUGUAAGAACUACUUCUAUGGUCACUAGGUAGGUGCUCAUUAUUUUGAAGAGGGAAUGCACAGAUGGGACAUUGAUCGCAAUGACUCUGCUCAUGAGCCGCCUGAAGACACUUCACUCUCGGUAACUAACAUCAUUAGCCAUUAGGAGUCCGAGCAUUAUUGGUCACUUGCGGAAUCAUACUUGAAUCUGUCCGACGCAGCGUUCAAGGAUUUUCGGAGGAAACUUCCAGUUACCCGCACCCAUUACCCAUGGCAUAACACGGGACCUGGCAAAAGAGCUAGCGCUAGGGAAAUGAAGCUUAUGGGGGCAGGUCACUAGGGUAGCUUGCAUAUGGAAAUUUUAGCUUCAUGCAAUUUGCUGUUCCGUAUACUGUACAAUUCUUAUCUUCUAACCAGCAUUUUUCUUCUUAUUGUCUAUGUGCUUCCGCACAUCGUUGUAAAUCAAUAGCAUGACCUUUUUUUUGUUGGGAAGUGGCGGAUAUAUGUGCAUUCA